rnacentral:rRNA from 1 species
UACGGGGGGGGCAAGCGUUGUUCGGAAUUACUGGGCGUAAAGCGCACGUAGGCGGAUUGUUAAGUCAGGGGUGAAAUCCUGGAGCUCAACUCCAGAACUGCCUUUGAUACUGGCAAUCUAGAGUCCGGAAGAGGUGAGUGGAACUCCUAGUGUAGAGGUGGAAUUCGUAGAUAUUAGGAAGAACACCAGUGGCGAAAGGCGGCUCACUGGUCCGGUACUGACGCUGAGGUGCGAAAGCGUGGGGAGCAAACAGG